AGACCGAUAGCGAACAAGUAGAGUGAUGAAAGAUGAAAAGCACUUUAAAAGAGGGUUAAAUAGCACGUGUAAAUUGUUGAAAGGGAAGGAUUUGUGACCAGACUUUUUCUGGGCGGAUCAUCCGGGGUUCUCUCCGGUGCACUUCGCCCAGUAAAGGCCAGCAUCGGUUUUCGGCGUGGGAUAAAAGCAGUAGGAAUGUGGCUCUCUACGGGGAGUGUUAUAGCCUAUUGUAUAAUACCGCGCUGGGGACCGAGGUUCGCGCUUCUGCAAGGAUGCUGGCGUAAUGGUUAUCAAUCACCCGUCUUGAAACACGGACCAAG
rnacentral:rRNA from 1 species